rnacentral:misc_RNA from 1 species
GCUUGCAGACCCUGACGCGGAAACAUCAGAAGAAAUACUGACCAAGCAGUUCAUGAGACAGGACCUGGAGAAGGUAUUAGACACCUUAAAUCCAAGGGAGAAGCAGGUCGUUAGAUGGCGAUUUGGACUAGAGGAUGGCAGGAUGAAGACGUUACAAGAAAUUGGUGAGUUAAUGGGCGUUAGCCGGGAGAGAAUUCGCCAAAUAGAGUCUUGUGCAUUCCGUAAGUUGAAGAACAAGAAAAGAACAAAGUUUUUGCAGCAAUAUAUAAAUGCUUAAAGUCUCUACUAUAUAUACAUCAAGAAAGUAGAUUUGACCUUCCAGUCGUUGAGUCUUUGUUGUUAGAAAAAAUUGAGGCUUAGAUAAGCUUUGGUUCUUUAACUGUUCUUAUUCUUCAGAACUCUGCAAAUAUGUUGUGCAUAAUACAAAAU